CGGCCGCGUCGACGGGGAAUAACAGUUGGAAACAGCUGCUAAUACCGCAUGAUGCAGUUGGGUCGCAUGACCCUGACUGCCAAAGAUUUAUCGCUCUGAGAUGGCCUCGCGUCUGAUUAGCUAGUUGGCGGGUAACGGCCCACCAAGGCGACGAUCAGUAGCCGGACUGAGAGGUUGGCCGGCCACAUUGGGACUGAGACACGGCCCAGACUCCUACGGGAGGCAGCAGGUGGGGAAUAUUGGGCAAUGGGCGCAAGCCUCGACCCAGCAACGCCGCGUGAAGGAAGAAGGUCGUUUCGGGUUAGUAAACUUCUUUGUCAGGGACGAAGCAAGU
rnacentral:rRNA from 1 species